CGCAGCAACGCGCGUGAGGGAUGAAGGCUUUCGGGUCGUAAACCUCUGUCGGAAGGGAAGAACGGGCAUUGGUCAAUAGGCCUUUGUUUUGACGGUACCUUUAGAGGAAGCACCGGCUAACUCCGUGCCAGCAGCCGCGGUAAUACGGAGGGUGCAAGCGUUAUUCGGAAUUACUGGCGUAAAGCGCACGUAGGCGGCCUUGUAAGUCAGGGGUGAAAUCCCACGGCUCAACCGUGGAACUGCCUUUGAAACUGCAGGGCUUGAAUCCUGGAGAGGGUGGCGGAAUUCCUGGUGUAGGAGUGAAAUCCGUAGAUAUCAGGAGGAACACCGGUGGCGAAGGCGGCCACCUGGACAGGUAUUGACGCUGAGGUGCGAAAGUGUGGGGAGCAAACCGGAUUAGAUACCCUGGUAGUCCACACCGUAAACGAUGGAUACUAGGUGUCGGGGACUUGAUCUUCGGUGCCGUACGUAACGCGUUAAGUAUCCCGCCUGGGAGUACG
rnacentral:rRNA from 1 species